rnacentral:rRNA from 1 species
GACGAACGCUGGCGGCGUGCUUAACACAUGCAAGUCGAACGGAAAGGCCCUGCUUUUGUGGGGUGCUCGAGUGGCGAACGGGUGAGUAACACGUGAGUAACCUGCCCUUGACUUUGGGAUAACUUCAGGAAACUGGGGCUAAUACCGGAUAGGAGCUCCUGCUGCAUGGUGGGGGUUGGAAAGUUUCGGCGGUUGGGGAUGGACUCGCGGCUUAUCAGCUUGUUGGUGGGGUAGUGGCUUACCAAGGCUUUGACGGGUAGCCGGCCUGAGAGGGUGACCGGCCACAUUGGGACUGAGAUACGGCCCAGACUCCUACGGGAGGCAGCAGUGGGGAAUAUUGCACAAUGGGCGGAAGCCUGAUGCAGCAACGCCGCGUGCGGGAUGACGGCCUUCGGGUUGUAAACCGCUUUCGCCUGUGACGAAGCGUGAGUGACGGUAAUGGGUAAAGAAGCACCGGCUAACUACGUGCCAGCAGCCGCGGUGAUACGUAGGGUGCGAGCGUUGUCCGGAUUUAUUGGGCGUAAAGGGCUCGUAGGUGGUUGAUCGCGUCGGAAGUGUAAUCUUGGGGCUUAACCCUGAGCGUGCUUUCGAUACGGGUUGACUUGAGGAAGGUAGGGGAGAAUGGAAUUCCUGGUGGAGCGGUGGAAUGCGCAGAUAUCAGGAGGAACACCAGUGGCGAAGGCGGUUCUCUGGGCCUUUCCUGACGCUGAGGAGCGAAAGCGUGGGGAGCGAACAGGCUUAGAUACCCUGAUAGUCCACGCUGUAAACGGUGGGUACUAGGUGUGGGGUCCAUUCCACGGGUUCCGUGCCGUAGCUAACGCUUUAAGUACCCCGCCUGGGGAGUACGGCCGCAAGGCUAAAACUCAAAGGAAUUGACGGGGCCCCGCACAAGCGGCGGAGCAUGCGGAUUAAUUCGAUGCAACGCGUAGAACCUUACCUGGGUUUGACAUGGAUCGGGAGUGCUCAGAGAUGGGUGUGCCUCUUUUGGGGUCGGUUCACAGGUGGUGCAUGGCUGUCGUCAGCUCGUGUCGUGAGAUGUUGGGUUAAGUCCCGCAACGAGCGCAACCCUUGUUCACUGUUGCCAGCACGUUAUGGUGGGGACUCAGUGGAGACCGCCGGGGUCAACUCGGAGGAAGGUGGGGAUGACGUCAAGUCAUCAUGCCCCUUAUGUCCAGGGCUUCACGCAUGCUACAAUGGCUGGUACAGAGAGUGGCGAGCCUGUGAGGGUGAGCGAAUCUCGGAAAGCCGGUCUCAGUUCGGAUUGGGGUCUGCAACUCGACCUCAUGAAGUCGGAGUCGCUAGUAAUCGCAGAUCAGCAACGCUGCGGUGAAUACGUUCCCGGGGCU